UGAAUGAUCUAUUGUUGUUGUUUUUUUUUUAUUUUAUUUAACGGUAGACAAGGUCAGUUUAUCCGUAGACUUUCUGUUGAGACAGACAUGCAAGUGCAGGUCGACAUAAUUAAUCUUCAUGCAUAAUUUCUUAUUGCCAGAGGCAUAGAUUCCAAUGUUUAAAUAUAAGAAAAUAAAUUUAUUCUCUUAAUCGUUCGUUGUAGACACUAAUAUCUGUUCCAGUUUUCACGAUUCAUCCUAUUGAAUAUUUACUUACGAACAUGGAAUAAAAGUUAUCAAUAUGGUACUUUCAGUAACGAUUAUAACUCUAGAAUCUUCUAUAUCAAUGCUACGUCACGUUUUAUUAAUGUAACCAUCUGAAUCAUGGAAUACAUUUGAUUACUCAAGGAUCCCAAUGGCUAACGGACCAAGUAUCAUCUGGGAACCCUAUACUAGCUUGGACCUUUAAAUGUCCUCGAAUUAUAUAUGACGAUCUAUACUCGUUUAACACUUACAAGAUGACUCGACUAUUUUUGCAAUCUUCAUUGAGACAAUGUCGAAUCGUAUAGUCAUAGUUAUACAGGUUGUUUAGUUUGAUGCAAUAAAAUUGUAUCUUGCUGUAAUGCGAAUUCUACUUCGUAAAAUGAGGUCUGCUGGCGCAAUACAACGGUUUUGUGUUCCAGUAAUGCCUUUAAGGUAUAUCUGAUAGCCACCGACUGUUUGAUAUCGGUAACCAGCUGCCGCAAAACACGUCUACAAAGAUAUAUAUAUAUAUAUAUGUAUAUAAACCAGGAUGAAAUAUUAUUUAAUAAUAAAGGGCAUAAAUAUUUCUAAAAAUGAACGAAUUGUUACAAAAUAAUGGUAAAAAAUAUGUAGAGAAAUAAAACACAAAUACAUUAUAUUCAGUUUAGAACAUGGAAUUGUAUUUUCCAUCUAUUAUUACAAAUAUCAGGCGUGAACACGUCUGACGAUCACAACGAGACAUUGUUUUAUUUUUCUAAGUUAUUGUAAUAAUUAUUCUAAAACGACUUAAACUAGAAAAAAAAAAAUAAAAAGCAUUCUUCUCAUAAAAAAAGUUGAUUCAAACAUAGCACUCAUACUUACUAUUAACUUAACUUAUAUACAUAAAAAAAAUAAGGUUUUUCAGUUUUUUCACUCUUACAAAAAUCACGUUUGCUCAUUCGUUUAAUUUCCG